GAUGAACGCUAGCGGCAGGCCUAACACAUGCAAGUCGAGGGGUAACUAGAGUGAUAGCAAUAUUACUUUGGCUAGACCGGCGCACGGGUGCGCAACCCGUAUGCAACCUACCUUAUACUGGGGAAUAACUUCGAGAAAUCGGCGCUAAUACCCCAUAACACUGCGGAGAGGCAUCUCUUUGCAGUUAAAGCUCCGGCGGUAUAAGAUGGGCAUGCGUCCAAUUAGCUAGUUGGUGAGGUAACGGCUCACCAAGGCUACGAUUGGUAGGGGUUCUGAGAGGAUGAUCCCCCACACUGGUACUGAGACACGGACCAGACUCCUACGGGAGGCAGCAGUGAGGAAUAUUGCGCAAUGGACGAAAGUCUGACGCAGCCAUGCCGCGUGCAGGAUGACGGCCCUAUGGGUUGUAAACUGCUUUUGUACGGGAAUAAACCCUUCUACGUGUAGGAGGCUGAAGGUACCGUAAGAAUAAGCACCGGCUAACUCCGUGCCAGCAGCCGCGGUAA
rnacentral:rRNA from 1 species